rnacentral:misc_RNA from 1 species
UCCGGAUUAACUCCGGCAGUUUCCUCAGAGUUCUCAGCAUUACCUGUUAGCAACAGAGGAUGAGGGUUGCGCUCGUUGCGGGACUUAACCCAACAUCUCACGACACGAGCUGACGACAGCCAUGCAGCACCUGUGCUCCUCCCACCCGAAGUGAAGGGAUCGAUCUCUCGUUCCCAUAGAGGGCAUGUCAAGGCCUGGUAAGGUUCUUCGCGUUGCCUCGAAUUAAACCACAUGUUCCACCGCUUGUGCGGGUCCCCGUCAAUUCCUUUGAGUUUUAAUCUUGCGACCGUACUCCCCAGGCGGGAUGCUUAACGCGUUAGCUACGCCACUGUGGCAUGACGCCACAACAGCUAGCAUCCAUCGUUUACAGCGUGGACUAC